rnacentral:rRNA from 1 species
GCAUAUCAAUAAGCGGAGGAAAAGAAACCAACAGGGAUUACCUCAGUAACGGCGAGUGAAGCGGUAACAGCUCAAAUUUGAAAUCUGGCUCCUCGGGGCCCGAAUUGUAAUUUGUAGAAGAUGCUUUGGGUCUGGGCCUGGCCUAAGUUCCUUGGAACAGGACGUCGUAGAGGGUGAGAAUCCCGUAUGCGGCUGGCGCCCGUGCCCGUGUAAAGCUCUUUCAACGAGUCGAGUUGUUUGGGAAUGCAGCUCUAAAUGGGUGGUAAAUUUCAUCUAAAGCUAAAUAUUGGCCAGAGACCGAUAGCGCACAAGUAGAGUGAUCGAAAGAUGAAAAGCACUUUGGAAAGAGAGUUAAACAGUACGUGAAAUUGUUGAAAGGGAAGCGCUGGCAACCAGACUUGGGCGCUGUUGAUCCGCUAGGGUUCUCUCUAGGGCACUCGGCAGUGCGCAGGCCAGCAUCGGUUUGGGGGGUUGGAGAAUGGCUGGUGGAAUGUGGCUGUCUUUGGGCAGUGUUAUAGCCACCGGUGGCAUGCAGCCUCCCCGGACCGAGGACCGCGCUUCGGCUAGGAUGCUGGCGUAAUGGUUGUCAGCGACCCGUCUGAAACACGGACC